UUAUAGGCGGCCGGCUGACAUCGUUACGGGUAAUAACCUCUAACCUCUACGGGACUAUUCACUCGUGCUUUAAGGGGUAACGAUCCCAAAGGGUCGCCUCUAGCACACCUCCGUCUCUUUCCUUCUGCUCGCGCCCCUUGCCAUUUAGUCUUCCGCCGGCGGCGCCGGAGCCACCGCGACGAACCCAGUGACUUCUACCCCUUCUGCCUCUCCCCUCUCUUCGCUUCGUCCCGCCAGCGCCGCCGCGACCUUCAAACUCCCUAACCUCGCGGCCGCUUUCCUCCUCGCGUCGUAGCUGGGUCGGACGACGGACGGCGGCUGCUGGUGUGGAGUCCAGUCCUAGUGAGUGUCCGUUUGGCUUAGAUGUUAAGACCGAAGUUCAAAGGUUUCUGGAACAUGGGUCUUAGAAACUUCUUAGUUUAGUUCCCCUCUCCCCUCUUCUGCAGGGUCGUCGAGGGACUCUUGCUCGCGGGUGAAGGGAUGCAGAACCCCUUCGUCUUCGCGGGGCUUGGGGAGCGACUAAGUUCGCUGCUGAUGAGUUCUUCAAAGGAAGGGAGGGCGUUGUUACUGCGGUUGCCGACGGAUUCAAGUAACUUUUAUACUUCCCCUCGUCGCAUCACCAACGACAAAAGAAACAGCCCACGGAUUAGUACCAACCUGUUACAGCAAGGCAGGGGUUCUCGUGGAUGUCUCUACCGGUACUGUUGCUCUGAUACCACCGGAGUAGGAAUCUACUCUCGUUUGAAUGGUAUUUUACCACACAGCGUUCCCUAACAUUGUGGUUUCCACUUGGUUUACGGGUAGUGACGAAAACGACGGAGUUACGCGUCCCUCGUGGAACAAAAUCAAGGUCCCCUCUAACGGUCCUAGUGACGGGUUGAAACGGUGGGCCUUUUAUUCCUACAAGCGACUAUACAUUAACUAGUGUAGGGAAAAUCAAGGUCUCCUCUAAAGGUCCUAGUGACGGGUUGAAACGGUAGGCCUUUUAUUCCUACAAGAUCGAUUAUACAUAAACUAGUGUAGGGAUGGAUCGACGUCGUAGCAGCGGCUAGAUCCGUAGACACAUCCAGAAGCAUUUCCUACGUUGUACACCGACCCUCUAAGUGGUCGCCACCCUAGACACACCUAGACAAAAGUAAGUACAUAAACUUCUUAAGUUCAACUACAUUCGAGUGUUUUGGAGGUUAAUCUCGUCUACUCUAUGCAAACGUCUAGUAUUUAAGACGUGGGCUAUAGUCACCGCUCG
rnacentral:rRNA from 1 species